rnacentral:tRNA from 1 species
GGGGAUUUAGCUCAGUGGUAGAGCGCUUGCCUAGGAAGCGCAAGACGCAAGGCCCUGGGUUCGGUCCCCAGUUCCG